rnacentral:tRNA from 1 species
GCACCCGUAGCUCAGUGGAUUAGAGCACCUGUCUUCGGAACAGGGGGUCGUGAGUUCGAAUCUCUCCGGGUGUACCA